GAUGAACGCUAGCGGCAGGCUUAACACAUGCAAGUCGAGGGGUAGAGGUUGCUUGCAACCUUGAGACCGGCGCACGGGUGCGUAACGCGUAUGCAACCUACCUUUUACAGAGGGAUAGCCCAGAGAAAUUUGGAUUAAUACCUCAUAGUAUAUAACCUUCGCAUGUUGGUUAUAUUAAAGUUUCAACGGUAAAAGAUGGGCAUGCGUCCUAUUAGCUAGAUGGUAAGGUAACGGCUUACCAUGGCAACGAAAGGUAGGGGUCCUGAGAGGGAGAUCCCCCACACUGGUACUGAGACACGGACCAGACUCCUACGGGACGCAGCAGUGAGGAAUAUUGGACAAUGGGCGCAAGCCUGAUCCAGCCAUGCCGCGUGCAGGAAGAAGCAUCUAUGGUGUGUAAACUGCUUUUGUACAGGAAGAAACACCCCGACGUGUCGGGACUUGACGGUACUGUAAGAAUAAGGAUCGGCUAACUCCGUGCCAGCCGCCGCUGUAACAC
rnacentral:rRNA from 1 species